rnacentral:lncRNA from 1 species
UGUUCUGCAGUAUAGAGGCCGUAGUUUUGGCAUUGGGUACACCGACGUGCUGGGGCAGCCGGUAGAUCUGAGAAAUGUACUGUAAGGAAGGCGCCUUCCAAGGGUGCAGCAGGAGUCGAACAUCCUUCUUGCUCAGUUGCAUCACAUCAUGCCAGUUUCCUUCAAAGCAUCUUACUCGGUUGGGGAACCAAAUAGGGAAGACCAAACAAGCCAGUAGAACAGGAACAUCGAAGAGCCAAAGAGGGAAGACCAAACAAGCCAGUGGAACAGGAUUGUUGUGGUAGGCUACUUCCUGGGACCUUACAUUCCUAUGUGUAGGACGAUUUCUCUAUUCAUUUCAAC